GAUGAAGAACGUAGCGAAAUGCGAUACUUGGUGUGAAUUGCAGAAUCCCGUGAACCAUCGAGUCUUUGAACGCAAGUUGCGCCCGAAGCCACUAGGCCGAGGGCACGCCUGCCUGGGCGUCACACGCCGUUGCCCCCCCAUCUACUCCUUCGGGAUUGCGGGGGGGCGGAUGAUGGCCUCCUGUGCGCCUAGCCGCGCGGUUGGCAUAAAUACCAAGUCCUCGGCGACGCACGCCACGACAAUCGGUGGUUGCGAAACCUCGGUUGCCCGUCGUGUGCGGUCGUCGCGCAUCGAGGGCUCGAAAAAAUUGCCGGGCUCCGGCUCGGCUUUCAACGCGACCCCAGGUCAGGCGGGGUUACCCGCUGAAUUUAAGCAUAUCAAUAAGCGGGA
rnacentral:misc_RNA from 1 species